AGAGUUUGAUCCUGGCUCAGAACGAACGCUGGCGGCGUGGAUAAGACAUGCAAGUCGAACGAUCACUAUUGGGUAGCAAUAUUCGGUAGUGGGAGUGGCGCAAGGGUGCGUAACACGUGGGUAAUUUGCCGUAAAGUCUGGGAUAACUUGCUGAAAGGCGAGCUAAUACCGGAUGUGAUUGCUGGAGGGCAUCCUCUGGCACUUAAAGUCGGGGACCGUAAGGCCUGACACUUUUCGAUAAGCCCGCGGCCUAUCAGCUAGUUGGUGAGGUAAUGGCUUACCAAGGCGACGACGGGUAGCCGGCCUGAGAGGGUGACCGGCCACACUGGGACUGAGACACGGCCCAGACUCCUACGGGAGGCAGCAGUGGGGAAUAUUGCACAAUGGGCGCAAGCCUGAUGCAGCGACGCCGCGUGAGGGAUGACGGCCUUCGGGUUGUAAACCUCUUUCAGUAGGGAAGAAGCGAAAGUGACGGUACCUGCAGAAGAAGCGCCGGCUAACUACGUGCCAGCAGCCGCGGUAAUACGUAGGGCGCAAGCGUUAUCCGGAAUUAUUGGGCGUAAAGAGCUCGUAGGCGGUUUGUCGCGUCUGCCGUGAAAGUCCGGGGCUCAACUCCGGAUCUGCGGUGGGUACGGGCAGACUAGAGUGAUGUAGGGGAGACUGGAAUUCCUGGUGUAGCGGUGAAAUGCGCAGAUAUCAGGAGGAACACCGAUGGCGAAGGCAGGUCUCUGGGCAUUAACUGACGCUGAGGAGCGAAAGCAUGGGGAGCGAACAGGAUUAGAUACCCUGGUAGUCC
rnacentral:rRNA from 1 species